rnacentral:sRNA from 1 species
UCCCGGUAGUCCCUCCCCGGAGCCACGAC